CAACCUGCCUAUAAGACUGGGAUAACUUCGGGAAACCGGAGCUAAUACCGGAUACGUUCUUUUCUCGCAUGAGAGAAGAUGGAAAGACGGUUUACGCUGUCACUUAUAGAUGGGCCCGCGSCGCAUUAGCUAGUUGGUGAGGUAAUGGCUCACCAAGGCGACGAUGCGUAGCCGACCUGAGAGGGUGAUCGGCCACACUGGGACUGAGACACGGCCCAGACUCCUACGGGAGGCAGCAGUAGGGAAUCUUCCGCAAUGGACGAAAGUCUGACGGAGCAACGCCGCGUGAACGAAGAAGGCCUUCGGGUCGUAAAGUUCUGUUGUUAGGGAAGAACAAGUACCAGAGUAACUGCUGGUACCUUGACGGUACCUAACCAGAAAGCCACGGCUAACUACGUGCCAGCAGCCGCGGUAAUACGUAGGUGGCAAGCGUUGUCCGGAAUUAUUGGGCGUAAAGCGCGCGCAGGUGGUUCCUUAAGUCUGAUGUGAAAGCCCACGGCUCAACCGUGGAGGGUCAUUGGAAACUGGGGAACUUGAGUGCAGAAGAGGAAAGUGGAAUUCCAAGUGUAGCGGUGAAAUGCGUAGAGAUUUGGAGGAACACCAGUGGCGAAGGCGACUUUCUGGUCUGUAACUGACACUGAGGCGCGAAAGCGUGGGGAGCAAACAGGAU
rnacentral:rRNA from 1 species